AUGAAUGGUGGCGAAGAGCGCGACUCUGUUGUUAUUGAGCUAGAGUUAGCGGAAUCAGAGGCCGGAAGAGAUUCGGUUGAAGGACUUGAGUUGAUGGAGGGGUUUCAGACAGAGGCGGAGAGAUUCAUGUGGAGAAAGGAUGAAAGGGGUGUUACUGUUUGUGUUGAAGAUGGAGAGCAGAAGCGAGUAUCACGCGGAGAAAGGAUGAGGUUACGGUGA